GACAGAGGGUGCAAACGUUGUUCGGAAUUACUGGGCGUAAAGCGCGUGUAGGCUAUUCGGAAAGUCAGGUGUGAAAGCCCUGGGCUCAACCCAGGAAGUGCACUUGAAACUCCCGAACUGGAGUCCCGGAGAGGAAGGCGGAAUUCUCGGUGUAGAGGUGAAAUUCGUAGAUAUCGAGAGGAACAUCGGUGGCGAAGGCGGCCUUCUGGACGGUGACUGACGCUGAGACGCGAAAGCGUGGGGAGCAAACAGG
rnacentral:rRNA from 1 species